rnacentral:sRNA from 2 species
UCACACACGUGACCACAUCGAGCGCAGCGAAGCCGGUGAGAAUCCGGCGCUGUCCCGCAACGGUGACGCCCUCUGGGCCAAGUCCGGUCGCCUGCCCCGAGGUGUCUGUUCCCGUUCACGAUGGAUGAACCGGCGCCGGAAG